CGCCAGUGCCGGGGGGGGUUCAAGCACAGGGAAAAUGAAACUCGUGCCCUUACAAGACACCGUGUGCCCUAUUUCCAGGUCUCACCCGUGGUCUAAAUCCGGCGGUCAGGAACGUGCUCUUCCUACCCUGGGUACCCCGUGGCAAUGCGAAGCCACCUGCUGUCACCCUGGACAGGAGCGGGAGCUCCCAAAAGAAUUCCAGGAGCUUUCUGGGGUGCAAU